UACGUAGGGGGCGAGCGUUAUCCGGAAUUACUGGGUGUAAAGGGUGCGUAGGCGGCACACUAAGUCAGCUGUGAAACCUGCAGGCUCAACCUGCAGCUUGCAGUUGAAACUGGUGAGCUAGAGUACAGGAGGGGAGAGCGGAAUUACUAGUGUAGCGGUGAAAUGCGUAGAUAUUAGUAAGAACACCGGAGGCGAAGGCGGCUUUCUGGACUGAAACUGACGCUGAGGCACGAAAGCGUGGGGAGCAAAC
rnacentral:rRNA from 1 species